rnacentral:tRNA from 1 species
GCGGAUGUGGCGGAACUGGCAGACGCGAUGGACUUAGGAUCCAUUGGGCAACCGUGCAGGUUCGAUUCCUGUCAUCCGCACCA